rnacentral:lncRNA from 1 species
AGCCUGUGAAAAUCCUCAUUGCCAAGGAUACCGGGGAAGGAGGGGUGGAGGGUAUGGGAGAGAGGGGAGGGGUGGAGGGAUCUGCUAUUAGGAGGAAUGUGGUAGUGAUGUAUAAGGUAUGAACGAUGUGGCCUGCAGAUUGCUGCUGCCGCUAUUGCUGUGACUGUAGGUGUUUGCUGAAGCUGGAUUGGAGCUGCUGAGGAUUUUUCCUACUCGGAUACCACUUUGCAAGGCAGGCUUCCCAAAAAGAAGGUGGUCUACCUUCUCCAAACAGAAAGGCUUAGCCUCUGGAGUGGGACAAGUCAAAGGGAAUAGGACUCUUCAGGUGGGAGUCACGCCAGAGGGAGUGAGGGGGUCUGUAUGGGGGACAGCUGCACACCAGCUCAAGGUGAUUUCAAGUUGUAAGGAUAAUUCUGAUAUGGAAGCCAGCCGUGGCAAAACUAAGGUAAGUCAAGGCGUUUCACCUUUCAUACACAUUGGGCUAAUUAGUUAACUCCACUGUUUGAC